ACUUUUAAAGGAUAGAAGUAAUCCAUUGGUUUUAGAAACCAUCUACCCUUGGUGC
rnacentral:tRNA from 1 species